UACGUAGGUGGCAAGCGUUGUCCGGAUUUACUGGGCGUAAAGGAUGCGUAGGCGGAUAUUUAAGUCAGAUGUGAAAUACCCGGGCUCAACUUGGGUGCUGCAUUUGAAACUGGAUAUCUAGAGUGCGGGAGAGGUAAGUGGAAUUCCGAGUGUAGAGGUGAAAAUUCGUAGAUAUUCGGAAGAACACCAGUGGCGAAGGCGAACUUACUGGACACAUAUUGACGCUGGAGGUGCGAAAGCGUGGGGAGCAAACAGGG
rnacentral:rRNA from 1 species